rnacentral:rRNA from 1 species
GAUGAACGCUGGCUACAGGCUUAACACAUGCAAGUCGAGGGGAAACGCCGGGGAAGCUUGCUUCCCCGGGCGUCGACCGGCGCACGGGUGAGUAACGCGUAUCCAACCUGCCUCUGACUGAGGGAUAACCCGUCGAAAGUCGGCCUAAUACCUCAUGGUAUCGUCUGCGGGCAUCCAACGACGAUUAAAGAUUUCAUCGGUCAGGGAUGGGGAUGCGUCUGAUUAGCUUGUUGGCGGGGUAACGGCCCACCAAGGCUACGAUCAGUAGGGGUUCUGAGAGGAAGGGCCCCCACAGUGGAACUGAGACACGGUCCAAACUCCUACGGGAGGCAGCAGUGAGGAAUAUUGGUCGAUGGGCGAGAGACUGAACCAGCCAAGUAGCGGGCAGGAAGACGGCCCUAUGGGUUGUAAACUGCUUUUAUGCGGGGAUAAAGUGAGGGACGUGUCCCUCAUUGCAGGUACCGCAUGAAUAAGGACCGGCUAAUUCCGU